rnacentral:rRNA from 1 species
AGUCGUAACAAGGCUUCCGUAGGUGAACCUGCGGAAGGAUCAUUA